rfam:Picea glauca, whole genome shotgun sequence.
GACUAUCGACAACAAAUAUAUCGUCUCUUGUUGCGAUGAAGAACGUAGCGAAAUGUGAUUCUUAGUGUGAAUUGCAGAAUCUCAUGAAUCAUCGAGUUUUUGAACAUAAUUUGUGCUCGAGGCAUUGUUCAAGGGAAGGUCUAUCUGGGAGUAG